AAUAUUGCACAAUGGGCGAAAGCCUGAUGCAGCAACGCCUCGUGAGUGAUGAAGGCCUNCGGGUCNUNAAGCUCUUUGAUCAGGGNUGACAAUGACAGUACCUGCAAAACAAGCCCCGUCUACCUACGUGCCAGCAGCCGCGGUAAUACGUAGGUGGCGAGCGUUGUCCGGAAUUACUGGGCGUAAAGGACGCGUAGGCGGAUACUUAAGUGGGAUGUGAAAUCCCCGGGCUCAACCCGGGAACUGCAUUCCAAACUGGGUAUCUAGAGUGCAGGAGAGGAAAGCGGAAUUCCUAGUGUAGCGGUGAAAUGCGUAGAUAUUAGGAGGAACACCAGUGGCGAAGGCGGCUUUCUGGACUGUAACUGACACUGAGGCAUGAAAGCGUGGGUAGCAAACAGG
rnacentral:rRNA from 1 species